UACGUAGGGGGCAAGCGUAAUCCGGAUUUACUGGGUGUAAAGGGAGCGUAGACGGCAAUGCAAGUCUGGAGUGAAAGGCGGGGGCCCAACCCCCGGACUGCUCUGGAAACUGUAUAGCUGGAGUGCAGGAGAGGUAAGUGGAAUUCCUAGUGUAGCGGUGAAAUGCGUAGAUAUAUGGAGGAACACCGGUGGCGAAAGCGGCUCUCUGGCCUGUAACUGACACUGAGGCUCGAAAGCGUGGGGAGCAAACAGG
rnacentral:rRNA from 1 species